GUGUCAGCAGCCGCGGUAAGACGAGGGGUCCAAGCGUUGCUCGGAAUCAUUGGGCGUAAAGCGGGUGUAGGUGGCUUUGUAAGUCAGGAGUGAAAGCCCUGGGCUUAACCCAGGAAGUGCUUUUGAUACUGCGAAGCUUGAGUGUGGGAGAGGAUCGUGGAAUUCCAGGUGUAGUGGUGAAAUACGUAGAUAUCUGGAGGAACACCGGUGGCGAAGGCGGCGAUCUGGCCCAACACUGACACUCAGACCCGAAAGUGCGGGGAUCAAACAGGAUUAGAUACCCUGGUAGUCCGCACCGUAAACGAUGGAUACUUGGUGUUGGAGGUAUUGACCCCUUCAGUGCCGAAGCAAACGCGUUAAGUAUCCCGCCUGGGAAGUACGGCCGCAAGGUUAAA
rnacentral:rRNA from 1 species